GACGAACGCUGGCGGCGUGCUUAACACAUGCAAGUCGAACGGAAAGACCCUGCUUUUGUGGGGUGCUCGAGUGGCGAACGGGUGAGUAACACGUGAGUAACCUGCCCUUUACUUUGGGAUAACUUCAGGAAACUGGGGCUAAUACCGGAUAGGAGCUCCUGCUGCAUGGUGGGGGUUGGAAAGUUUCGGCGGUUGGGGAUGGACUCGCGGCUUAUCAGCUUGUUGGUGGGGUAGUGGCUUACCAAGGCUUUGACGGGUAGCCGGCCUGAGAGGGUGACCGGCCACAUUGGGACUGAGAUACGGCCCAGACUCCUACGGGAGGCAGCAGUGGGGAAUAUUGCACAAUGGGCGGAAGCCUGAUGCAGCAACGCCGCGUGCGGGAUGACGGCCUUCGGGUUGUAAACCGCUUUCGCCUGUGACGAAGCGUGAGUGACGGUAAUGGGUAAAGAAGCACCGGCUAACUACGUG
rnacentral:rRNA from 1 species